rnacentral:misc_RNA from 1 species
GAUGAAGAACGUAGCGAAAUGCGAUACUUAGUGUGAAUUGCAGAAUCCCGUGAACCAUCGAGUCUUUGAACGCAAGUUGCGCCUCAAGCCAUUAGGUUGAGGGCACGUCUGCCUGGGCGUCACAUAUCGUUGCCUGAUGCCAGUUUCCUCGUGAUGGGUGACUGUGCAGGGCGAAUGAUGGCUUCCCGUGAGCAUUGUUGCCUCAUGGUUGGUUGAAAAUUGAGUCCUUGGUAGGGAGCGCCGUGAUAGAUGGUGGUUGAGUGACGAACGAGACCCAAUCAUGUGAGACCCCUACCGAAUUUGGCCUUCAUGACCCACAUGCGUCUUUGGAACGCUCAUGACGAGACCUCAGGUCAGGCGGGGCUACCCGCUGAGUUUAAGCAUAUCAAUAAGCGGAGGA